AAGAAAUACGAGCAUAAUGGCGGACCAACAACAAAUUAGAGACGCGCCAGCGUCUUUUAAAUCAAAAGUUUGGGCGCACUUUGGAUUUCGUAGUGAACGUAAAUAAGUAGGCAUGGUUAACUCGGCGCUCUGCAAGUUGGGAAUACUCUUUUCACCUUCUUUCAGUCUGUAGUUUCGUGAUUCGCUCCAGUCCGGCGCUUUCUCUCUCACCCGCAGUGCUCGUGCAGGGGUGCAGCUAUCUGCGCGUGCAUAUUAAAAAAGCUCAUUCUCACGUAUUACAGAAGUCAGAUUGUUUUGUAAAGCUUUAAUAGUUUUUAUAAAGCUCAACUUUAGGCGAGCCGAGGCGAAACUUGCGUUGAAAUGCGCGAUGAUCCUCAUAGCGUGAGUGCUUCGACGUGACGCGCCGCAAACCCCCGUUUUAGGAGACGCGUGUGGAGUCACCAGAGACUCACAGUCCAAAGACAAGCGCAAGAAUAAACAAACCUAAAGACAGAGAGUCGCAACACACUAAAAAUGCUCAUCUAAUAGAUCAUUUUUUCCCUUCAUUUACAGAUGUAAUGUAUUUUUCAAGUAAUGUUUUUUUAUAGAAUUGCCAAGCGAUAUAUCGAUUAUCGCAGAAUCGGCGCAUUGUGAUAUUAUCAGUAUCGUGAGCCCUGUAUCGCCUAUCGAAUCGUAUCGGGAGGUACCCUGCGAUUACCAUCCCUAAUAUAUACAGUAUUUGGGUAGUUAACAAAUGAACCAUACUAGUGACCGCAACAAUUCUGAAAACAAAUUGUAAUUUUUCUGAGGUGAAGUAAUCCUGAGUAAUUUCUUUUACAUAAUCAUGUUAAAUGCCUUAAUGGUGAAAUUCAGUAUGAGGAGUGGUGGUCAACUUGAAAAGAAGCCAUUCAAAGCUAUACUAUGUAAUUCAAGACUCUUAAUAGAAGAUGUAGACUUGCCAUGAUCCAGAAUGCCAGCUAUUUGCUGAAGUUCAUCUUCAAACAGAACAGCAUGGAAUGCAGUACUCUUCAGAUGCUUUGAACAGGUGUAGCCCAAAUGCAACAGAUGCAUCAAUGGCAGAACACCUGAAGCACGCUGGGGGUGGUGGAUAUAAAAAAUGAGCCAUAAUCAACUUUCACCGACUCUAAAACAUUUACACAGGUUUUAACCAUAAUCCUGUAUUUUGUUGUUUACUUGUUUUAUGGCUGUUUAACAGUAAUACAAUACUGUUAGGAAAUAAUAGGUAGUGCCAUAGCUCUGACUUCCAUGCAUCAAUGGUGGAACACAUGAAUCAUACUCCUGGAAGAGCUGGUGGUCGGGGACCAAGAAAACAAUAGUAAACAUUUUGAAAAAAAAUGGAAAGACUAAAGUAGUUACAUAUGUGUUUCCUAUAAUUCUGUACUUUUGUUAUUUUCAUGUUUGAUUAAUGGCUGCUUAACAUUAAUGUAAAACUCCAUUGCUAUUGAAAUUGCACUAUUUUUUUCUUGUUUGAAUAGGAGCUUUUUAACAAUUGGAAGACAACUAAAAAAUUGAUGUUCACUAUAAAAUAUGCUGUGAUAAAUUAAAACACUUCUUUUUGCUUAAGUCCAGAAAUAAUGUGUUGUUUGUGAUGUAC